rnacentral:lncRNA from 1 species
CAAAAAUUACCCGGUUGUGGUGCCCAGCACCACGCCUGGGUCCUUUUUCUAUUUUUAGUGGAGAUGGUUUCGCCCCGUUGGCCAGGCUGGUCUCAAACUCCUGACCUCAAGGUGAUCCGCCCACCUUGGCCUCCCAAAGUGCUGGGAUUACAGGUGUGAGCCACCGCACCCAGCAGACCUUCUUAUCGAGGCUUCCUUACAGUAGGUAACACUUGGCUACCCUUGUGGUUGUUUUGUUUGUGUCCUAUGGAGUCAGUGACCUCCCACACAUUCUCUAUUCUCAGAGCCUUAGGAGAGGCUACAGCCAAGUGAAUAGAAGUUCAGUAAGUAUGAGUGUGUAGUGAUCCAUUUCCUCUUGUUUGUAUAAUCGAAUG